rnacentral:rRNA from 1 species
AGAUAGCUGGUUCUCUCCGAAAUAGCUUUAGGGCUAGCCUCAAGUGAUGAUUAUUGGAGGUAGAGCACUGUUUGGACGAGGGGCCCCUCUCGGGUUACCGAAUUCAGACAAACUCCGAAUGCCAAUUAAUUUAACUUGGGAGUCAGAACAUGGGUGAUAAGGUCCGUGUUCGAAAGGGAAACAGCCCAGACCACCAGCUAAGGUCCCAAAAUAUAUGUUAAGUGGAAAAGGAUGUGGCGUUGCCCAGACAACUAGGAUGUUGGCUUAGAAGCAGCCAUCAUUUAAAGAGUGCGUAAUAGCUCACUAGUCGAGUGACACUGCGCCGAAAAUGUACCGGGGCUAAACAUAUUACCGAAGCUGUGGAUUGUCCUUUGGACAAUGGUAGGAGAGCGUUCUAAGGGCGUUGAAGCAUGAUCGUAAGGACAUGUGGAGCGCUUAGAAGUGAGAAUGCCGGUGUGAGUAGCGAAAGACGGGUGAGAAUCCCGUCCACCGAUUGACUAAGGUUUCCAGAGGAAGGCUCGUCCGCUCUGGGUUAGUCGGGUCCUAAGCUGAGGCCGACAGGCGUAGGCGAUGGAUAACAGGUUGAUAUUCCUGUACCACCUAUA